rnacentral:misc_RNA from 1 species
CUCCCAGCUAUUUUAUUUGAAGAAAGAUCAAGUCCUUUUAGCUGAGCCGCAUUUCCAAUUUCAGGUGGAAUUGCACUAGUUAUUUUGUUGCCUGCCAUCAUUAGAGUUGUCAAAUUUUGACACUUUCCCCAGUUGGAUGAUAUUUCCCCUUCGAAUUUAUUGUAGCUUAGAUCUAUAAAUUCAAGGUUUGGAUAGAAGCUGAAGUCUUUAGAUAUAUUUCCAGUGAAUUGGUUUCCUCCUAGCCGAACUGUGACAAAGCUUUUUACAUUUAGAGGCAUAAUCCCAUAUUUAGAUUAAAAUUUUAAUCCCAGGUGUAUGCAUGG